rnacentral:lncRNA from 1 species
UUUUAUUUUCUCGUCCUUCAUUGAAAUAGAAAUGGCUAUUUCUGUAUUUUCUCAUGUGUAUAUAAUCAUCUGCACUGAGGAUAUCUGUCACUCGACACAUUGUUCUCGACGAUUACAAUUAGAAAUGCAAAACAUGAGGCAAAGAGGCAGGUGUACGUACUCAAGUAACAGAAUUUUUCAUCAUCAUCGUGGUGGUAUAUUACAAUCAGCUGGGAGCAACCGGCCAAUUACGUCUCCGGCCAUGGUUGCUAAUUAACCCCAGUAGAGAAGAUCCAUCGCUCCGAUCGAGCUACUACUACACUGAUGGCCUAGCUAAUUGGGACCCCAGCAGCUGAGGUACAUGACCGUCCUCAGCCCCUCCUCGGCCUUCUCCGCUCGCCUCCGCUCCGCCGCCGCCGCCGCCGAAGAAGGCAGCUUCUUGGCCUGCGAGGCGCCGGCGCGCGCGUUGGCCUUGGCGGCGCGGUGGAUGGACCGCAGCGCGUAGUUCCAGCGGCAGAGCCCCGCCUGGUCCUUGAGCGCCUCCACCGCGCCCACGCUCAUCGCCACCAUCCACGACGCCUUCGCUGCACCCGCCAUUGACGACACCGAUCGCUGGUGGUGUACUACCGAUCUGUGAAGCCUUCUUCGCUUUGCAGUGAGCUGAAUUGAUGCUGUGUUGGAUUGAGGAGAGGGUCGAGGGGGUGGAGCCGGGGCUUUAUACCGAGAGGGGCGGGGCGAAACAGGAGGCGCGCGCGCGUUGGUUUUUCCCGGGAUACCGGCGGUUCCACCGCGGCACUCGUCGCUUUCCGCUCGGGUUGGUGGCUCGCUCGGCCAGGGGUAUCACACGCGCGGCGCCCACCACGUCUCGUCCAGCUAAGCGAGAACCCGCCGGGCCUAGGAGGGGAGGAGGUGCUUUUGCUGCGUGCGGCUGGGCCAUGCCAUGCGUGCAGUGAUAGGAUAGGAUUGAACGAGUAGGACUGUACGAGUGGCCGAGUGGGUGAGAAGGAUGCGUGCCACUUGCAGGUGGGUCCCACGAAAGCAGUGGCUAGUCCUAAAACGAGGCGGGUUUACCGGGGUGGACGAGUUUGUCAGUUGAGAACUUUUUUUUUUCAUUUCAUUUCGUAUAUGAACAACUUAAUUUUUCGGUUUAAGCGCAUAGGUUAACAUCAUUGUCUUUUUCGUUUAUUAUUGUGUUUAUAAGCUAAAUUUUGAUUUUUUAACUUAAAUUUAAAAUUGAUUUUAUAGUUUUCAUCGUAGUUUACUUUUUAUUAUUAGUUUUUAAAAUCAUUAAGAACCUAUAUAUAAAAUUUAAUUUAUAGAUUAUUUUUUAUAAAUAUACCUUUUGAUAAUCACCCCGCUAAGGUCUGCCGAUUUAUCUUUUGCUAGUCUAGUAGUGCUGCUAAUUUAAGCCUGGGUCGUUUUUGAAGGCUGUAAUUUUUUGCGAGUGAUUGUAAUAUUGUAUCCCUUUCGUGCACUCACUCGGUGCUGCAAACUGUUAACCGCUGGGUCGAAUUGGGAUGCGUGUUGAGGUGUUUUGCUGGUGAGUGGUGACUGUGAGAGCGGAGUUAUGGGAGGUGGCAUGGAAAACCAGAGGCUCGAGGACAUGGUUUUCCAAUAUACCGGGUGCGAGACUGCCAGUGCGCGAACAGAGACAACAGCACUGGAGGACAUAUGUCACUCAAUCAGUGUCAUGGUCCGGGACUCUCCUGUCCUGUCUCCUCCAGCCUCCAACCCUCCGUAGCUCCAGGCUGUAUACUCCAGCCUCCAACCCUAUAGUUCAUGCUUGCGGCAAGGACGUUUGACGUUUAGAGUAUUUAUUAUAAAUUUUAAACGCAGAAUAUUUAUACCACUAAUGAUAUAAAUAAGAGCAAAUUCGUCGAUAAACUUUUAAGUCUAAUAAUUCGUGCGAUAAAUUUUUAAGUCUAAUUAAUCUAUAAUUAACUUAUAUUUACAGUAAUAUCAUAUAAGCUAAUUAAUUAGACUCAAUAGAUUCGUUUCUAAAUUAAUCUAAGAUUAUAGAUGGGUUUUAUUAAUAAUCUACGUUUAAUAUUACCAUAAGUGUCUAAACAUCCGCCGAUUUAAUAGGGACUAACCACCCAACACCACCUUAUACAUGAUUAACUGCGUCAAAGAACUUGUCAUCUAAUCAAUUUUAUUUGCCUUCGAUAUUCAGUAUAUAUCCACUUGGAUUUGGAUAUAGAGAUGGAUAGAAAUAACCAUCUCCAACAAAAAUAAAAAAAAUGCCUUCAAUAAUCUUUUCUUAGCACUCUCUCGUUAUAUUUCUGACAACUUUGGUGUUGAUCGCUUGAAAGCACCCAUAUCCCCAAGCUAACAUAGUAACAUGAAUGAUGAAUUUCAGAAAUGCAAAUGGAUCUAUGAGACAGACAAAUAUACUCAAGUAACAGAAGUUAUCAUCAUCAUCAUCAUCAUCGAGGUAUUUUACAAUCAGGAGGCAACCGGCCGAGUUCUCAGGCCAUGGCUGCUGCCGCAUACUCCUAAGCUAAUACUCCCAACAUCGAGCAGCAACAUACACUAAUUGGGACCCCAGCAGCUGAGGUACAUGACCGUCCUCAGCCCCUCCUCGGCGUUCUCCGCUCUCCUCCGCUCCGCCACCGCCGCCGCGGGCAGCUUCUUGCCCUGCGAUGCUCCGCCGGC